rnacentral:rRNA from 1 species
UACGUAGGUGGCAAGCGUUGUCCGGAAUUAUUGGGCGUAAAGCGCGCGCAGGCGGUCCUUUAAGUCUGAUGUGAAAGCCCACGGCUCAACCGUGGAGGGUCAUUGGAAACUGGGGGACUUGAGUGCAGGAGAGAAGAGUGGAAUUCCACGUGUAGCGGUGAAAUGCGCAGAUAUCGGGAGGAACACCGGUGGCGAAGGCGGUUCUCUGGGCCUGACCUGACGCUGAGGAGCGAAAGCGUGGGGAGCGAACAGG